rnacentral:rRNA from 1 species
AUGUAUAAGUUGAAGGUGAAAAAGUGAAACUGCGAACGGCUCAUUACAACAGGUACAAUAUACCAGAUGCAUUACCUAUAUGGAUAACUGCGGUAAUUCUGGAGCUAAUACAUGCGAAACAGCCUCGGUCUUCGGAUCGUGGUGCAUUUAUUGGUGCAAAAUCAGUCGUUGAACUGUAUGCUUACUCUGGAUAAACAAGCAUAUCGCACGGCCUUGUGCUGGCGAAGUUUCUGUCUAGUAUCUGCCUUAUCAACUGUCGUUGGGAGUGUAGUGGACUCCCAUGGUUGUGACGGGUAACGGAGAAUCAGGGUUUGACUCCGGAGAGGGAGCCUUAGAAACGGCUACCAUGUCUAAGGAUAGCAGCAGGCGCGAAAAUUACCCAAUAUCAAAAGGAUGAGGUAGUAACGAGAAAUAACGAGAUCGUUCUCUAUGAGGUCGAUCAUUGGAAUGAGUACGAUCCAGAAACUUUAACGAGUAUCUACGAGAGGGCAAGUCUGGUGCCAGCAGCCGCGGUAAUUCCAGCUCUCGUAAGGUAUAGAAUUAUUGCUGUGGUUAAAAAGUUCGUAGUUGGAUUUGAACGUUGGCGUGGGUCCAUCCUCACGGAUGCGUACUCAUUGCCUUCGAUCUUGUUCGUUUGGGUGGGCGGUUGGUUUCGGCCAGCUGUCGCCCGUCGAACAGGAUUACUUUGAACGGCUCAAGUGCUCAAAGCACGUCUUAUGACAGAAUACCGGUGCAUGGAAUAAUGGAAGAAGGCCUCGGCCGAGUUUUAUUGGUUUUAUCGGUUGAAGCAAUGGUUAACAGGAACAACCCGGGGGCAUUCGUAUCGCUACGCGAGAGGUGAAAUUCGUGGACCGUAGCGAGACGCCCAAAAGCGAAGGCACUUGCCAAGAGUGUUUUCAUUAAUCAAGAACGAAAGUCAGAGGUUCGAAGGCGAUUAGAUACCGCUCUAGUUCUGACCGUAAACGAUGCCAACUGUCGAUCCGCUUGUGGAUUUCAUUCAUAAGCGGGGAGGUUCCCGGAAACGAAAGUUUUCCGGUUCCGGGGGAAGUAUGGUUGCAAAGCUGAAACUUAAAGGAAUUGACGGAAGGGCACCACCAGGAGUGGAGCUUGCGGCUUAAUUUGACUCAACACGGGAAAUCUCACCCGGCCAGUACAUUGUAAGGAUUGACAGACUGAUAGCUCUUUCAUGAUUCGGUGAAUGGUGGUGCAUGGCCGUUCUUAGUUCGUGGACUUUGAUCUGUCUGGUUUAUUCCGAUAACGAGCGAGACUUUAACUACUAACUAGUGCGGCGGUUACUUCGGUUGCCGUUGAUCACUUCUUAGAAGAAUUGGUGGUUUCCAACCACAAGAGAUUGAGCAAUAACAGGUCUGUGAUGCCCUUAGAUGUUCGGGGCCGCACGCGUGCUGCAAUGAUGGUAACAGCGUGAUUGUCCUUCUCCGAAAGGAGUUGGAAAACAGUUGAGAUAUUAUUAUGGCUGGAAUUGAGAGUUGAAAUUUUCUCUCAUGAACGAGGAAUUCCAAGUAAAUGCGAGUCAUCAACUUGCAUUGAUUACGUCCCUGCCCUUUGUACACACCGCCCGUCGCUGCCCGGGACUGGGUUAGUUCGAGAAAACUAGGGAUCGGUGCUGUUGAUUGGUUUCGGCCAAUUGCUGCGCUGAGAACGAGUUUAAUCGCGCUGGCCUGAACCGGGC